rnacentral:pre_miRNA from 1 species
AUGAUACUCCCUCCGUCUCAAAAUUCUUGUAUUAAAUUUGUCUAAGUACGGAUGUAUCAAGUCACGUUUUAGUAUUAGAUACAUCCGUAUCUAGACAGAUCUAAGACAAGAAUUUUGGAACGGAGGGAGUACCUU